GAUGAACGCUAGCGGCAGGCUUAAUACAUGCAAGUCGAGGGGCAGCAUGACUGUAGCAAUACAGUUGAUGGCGACCGGCAAACGGGUGCGGAACACGUACAGAACCUUCCUUCGAGCGGGGAAUAGCCCAGAGAAAUUUGGAUUAAUACCCCAUAGUAUAGCGGAGUGGCAUCACUCUGUUAUUAAAGAUUUAUCACUUGAAGAUGGCUGUGCGGCUGAUUAGGUAGUUGGCGGGGUAACGGCCCACCAAGCCUGCGAUCAGUAACUGGUGUGAGAGCACGACCAGUCACACGGGCACUGAGACACGGGCCCGACUCCUACGGGAGGCAGCAGUAAGGAAUAUUGGUCAAUGGACGAAAGUCUGAACCAGCCAUGCCGCGUGGAGGAUGAAGGUCCUCUGGAUUGUAAACUUCUUUUAUAUGGGACGAAAAAAGGCUUUUCUAAGUCGUCUGACGGUACCAUAUGAAUAAGCACCGGCUAACUCCGUGCCAGCAGCCGCCGUAACAC
rnacentral:rRNA from 1 species